rnacentral:rRNA from 1 species
UAACUGGAGAGUUUGAUCCUGGCUCAGAGUGAACGCUGGCGGCGUGCCUAACACAUGCAAGUCGCACGAGAAAGGUCUGGUUUUAUACUGGGCCGAGUAAAGUGGCGCACGGGUGAGUAACGCGUGAGUGACCUACCCUGGAGACUGGGAUAACCUUGCGAAAGCGGGGCUAAUACCGGAUACGCCUGUGUAGAGGUGAUUUACACAGGGAAAUAGGGGCCUCUCGGUGAAGCUCCUGCUCUGGGAUGGGCUCGCGUCCUAUCAGCUAGUUGGUGGGGUAAUGGCUCACCAAGGCUACGACGGGUAGCCGGCCUGAGAGGGUGGUCGGCCACACUGGCACUGAGACACGGGCCAGACU